UCGCCAGACUCCUACGGGAGGCAGCAGUGAGGAAUAUUGGUCAAUGGGCCUACGCCUGAACCAGCCAAGUCGCGUGAGGGAAGACUGCCCUAUGGGUUGUAAACCUCUUUUGUCAGGGAGCAAUUGGCGCUACGUGUAGCGUUAUCGAGAGUACCUGAAGAAAAAGCAUCGGCUAACUCCGUGCCAGCAGCCGCGGUAAUACGGAGGAUGCGAGCGUUAUCCGGAUUUAUUGGGUUUAAAGGGUGCGUAGGCGGAAUGCCAAGUCAGCGGUAAAAUCGCGGGGCUCAACCUCGCUCCGCCGUUGAAACUGGCGUUCUUGAGUGGGCGAGAAGUAUGCGGAAUGCGUGGUGUAGCGGUGAAAUGCAUAGAUAUCACGCAGAACCCCGAUUGCGAAGGCAGCAUACCGGUGCACAACUGACGCUCAGGCACGAAAGCGUGGGUAUCGAACAGGAUUAGAUACCCCGGUAGC
rnacentral:rRNA from 1 species